rnacentral:lncRNA from 1 species
CCAUCCUGGCAAACACGGUGAAACCCCGUCUCUACUAAAAAUACAAAAAAAAAAAAAAAAAAAUUAGCCAGGCGUGGUGGCAGGCGCCUCUAGUCCCAGCUACUCAGGAGGCUGAGGCAGGAGAAUGGCAUGAACCCGGGAGACGGAGCUUGCAGUGAGCCGAAAUCGCACCACUGCAUUCCAGCCUGGGCAACAGAGCGAGACUCCAUCUCAAAAAAAAAAAAAAAAAAAAAAGAGAAUUCAGAAUUAUACAAUCUAAUUCUGAACAUAUUUAGCAGGAAAAUAACAUGAGAUAUAUAUGCAGAUAAUAUAUCCUCUGUGUCUUGUAUUGAGGUUUACAUAUAUUAGAGUUAAGAUAAAUAUUUUCCAUGAAAUACAAUUAUACAAAAAUUAGAACACAAUAGGAUGCACUUAAUAAUAAAAGUUUAUAAAACAGAAUAUAAUCUGUAUAUAGAACAGAAUAUAAUCUGUAAUAUUCAGCAGGUAUAUGAAAAACAUGCAGUGCUUCCGGAAGAUCAUCAUCAUCAAUUACCGCAACAUUGGCGAGAUGCAGAAGUUAUCAAUUAAGAAGAAUUACGGUUGAAUUACUUUCCUAUAACAAUUUGUAAUAAACUAAGUGAAUCUAUUAAAAUAAGAAAGACUCAGGAAUCUUUUUAAUAAUAACGAAGUCAGGACCAGGCACGGUAGGGAUCACGAGGUCAGGAGAUCGAGACCAUCCUGGCUAACACGGUGAAACCCCGUCUCUACUAAAAAUACAAAAAAAAAAUUAGCCGAAACGUCUCAAAAAAAGACAUUUAUGCAGCCAACAGACACAUGAAAAAAUGCUCAUCAUCACUGGCCAUCAGAGAAAUGCAAAUCAAAACCACAAUGAGAUACCAUCUCACACCAGUCAGAAUGGCAAUCAUUUAAAAAGUCAGGCAACAACAGGUGCUGGAGAGGAUAUGGAGAAAUAGGAACACUUUUACACUGUUGGUGGGACUGUAAACUACUUCAACCAUUGUGGAAGUCAGUGUGGUGAUUCCUCAGGGAUCUAGAACUAGAAAUACCAUUUGACCCAGCCAUCCCAUUACUGGGUAUAUCCCCAAAGGAUUAUAAAUCAGCUUGCUAUAAAGACACACGCACAUGUAUGUCUACUGCGGCACUAUUCACAAUAGCAAAGACUUGGUACUAACCCAGAUGUCCAUCAAUGAUAGACUGGAUUAAGAAAAUGUG